GUAAAACACAGGCUUAAUGAAACCAUCACACCUUUAACAAAAGGUAACUUGAACCACGAAAAUUAAGAAACAAACUAGGAUUAGAUACCCUACUAUGCUUAAUCGUUAAUAUGACAUCCCAAUACACAAGAUGUCCGCCAGAAUAUUACGAGCGAAAAGCUUAAAACUCAAAGGACUUGGCGGUGCCCCACACCCGACUUAGAGGAGCCUGUCCUAUAAUCGAUAUUCCACGAUAAACCUCACCAUUCAUUGCCAAAUCAGCCUAUAUACCGCCGUCGUCAACUUACCCCAUGAGGGUAAAACAGUAAGUAUAACAGCUAACUAGCUAAAAAGUCAGGUCAAGGUGUAGCUUAUAGAAUGGAAGAGAUGGGCUACAUUUUUUAAAAUAAAAUAAACGGCAUGGAACCAUGAAAUUAGUUCCUAAAGGAGGAUUUAACAGUAAAAUUAACAAGAAAAUUAAUUUUAAACACGCUCUGGGGCGCGCACACACCGCCCGUCACCCUCUUCACAAAACACUACUUCAAUAUAUAAACAAUAAAAACCAAAAAGAAGAGGCAAGUCGUAACAUGGUAAGCGCACUGGAAAGUGCGCUUGGAAUAA
rnacentral:rRNA from 1 species